GAACGCUAGCGGCAGGCCUAAUACAUGCAAGUCGAACGGCAACACGGGUAGCAAUACCUGGUGGCGAGUGGCGCACGGGUGCGUAACGCGUAUGCAACCUACCCUUAACUGAGACAUAACCUGGCGAAAGCUGGGCUAAUAUCUCAUGAGGUUUAUGGGAGGCAUCUUCUAUAAAUCAAAGUCUGGAAAGAUGGUUAAGGAUGGGCAUGCGUCCCAUUAGCUAGUUGGUGAGGUAAAGGCUCACCAAGGCGACGAUGGGUAGGGGUUCUGAGAGGAAGGUCCCCCACACUGGUACUGAGACACGGACCAGACUCCUACGGGAGGCAGCAGUAAGGAAUAUUGGGCAAUGGUCGGAAGACUGACCCAGCCAUGCCGCGUGCAGGAAGAAGGCCCUAUGGGUUGUAAACUGCUUUAGCCAGGGGCUAAACCUACCGAUGCGUUGGUAGCUGAAGGUACCUGGAGAAUAAGCAUCGGCUAACUCCGUGCCAGCAGCCGCGGUAAUACGGAGGAAUGCGAGCGUUUAUCCGGAAUUUACUGGGGUUUUAAAGGGGUGCGCCAGGCCGGUUUGUUUUAAGUUC
rnacentral:rRNA from 1 species